rnacentral:rRNA from 1 species
CCUACGGGUUGCAGCAGUGAGGAAUAUUGGUCAAUGGAGGCAACUCUGAACCAGCCAUGCCGCGUGCAGGAAGACUGCCCUAUGGGUUGUAAACUGCUUUUAUACAGGAAGAAACUUAUCCACGUGUGGAUAACUGACGGUACUGUACGAAUAAGGACCGGCUAACUCCGUGCCAGCAGCCGCGGUAAUACGGAGGGUCCAAGCGUUAUCCGGAAUCAUUGGGUUUAAAGGGUCCGUAGGCGGGCGAUUAAGUCAGAGGUGAAAUCCCACAGCUCAACUGUGGAACUGCCUUUGAUACUGG